AACACGUAGGCACCAAGCGUUGUCCGGAUUUAUUGGGCGUAAAGAGCUCGUAGGCGGUUGAGUAAGUCGGGUGUGAAAACUCUGGGCUUAACCCAGAGCCGCCACUCGAUACUGCUCUGACUUGAGUACGGUAGGGGAGCAGGGAAUUCCUAGUGUAGCGGUGAAAUGCGAAGAUAUUAGGAGGAACACCGGUGGCGAAGGCGCUGCUCUGGGCCGAAACUGACGCUGAGGAGCGAAAGCGUGGGUAGCAAACAGGA
rnacentral:rRNA from 1 species